GUGGGGAAUCUUGCGCAAUGGGCGAAAGCCUGACGCAGCCAUGCCGCGUGAAUGAUGAAGGUCUUAGGAUUGUAAAAUUCUUUCACCGGGGACGAUAAUGACGGUACCCGGAGAAGAAGCCCCGGCUAACUUCGUGCCAGCAGCCGCGGUAAUACGAAGGGGGCUAGCGUUGCUCGGAAUUACUGGGCGUAAAGGGCGCGUAGGCGGACAGUUUAGUCAGAGGUGAAAGCCCAGGGCUCAACCUUGGAAUUGCCUUUGAUACUGGCUGUCUUGAGUACGGGAGAGGUGAGUGGAACUCCGAGUGUAGAGGUGAAAUUCGUAGAUAUUCGGAGGAACACCAGUGGCGAAGGCGGCUCACUGGCUCGAUACUGACGCUGAGGUGCGAAAGCGUGGGGAGCAAACAGGAUUAGAUACCCUUGUAGUCC
rnacentral:rRNA from 1 species